rnacentral:lncRNA from 1 species
GGAUGAGGGAGCAGGGUUCUGCAGGCUCAGAUUUAGCCUCCGUCUGAACCUUACAUCAUCUGCCUUCUCUUUGGAGUGUCUGAAUUAACAAGCCAUGCUUACAGCGCCUGGCAGACAGGGCAGCACUGCAGAUGAAAGCCUGCUUUCCUUUUAAACAAAAAUUAAGGCCUAAAGCUGCCCUGGGUCUCGACCCUUUUCUUGCCAACUAGGGAGGGUCUGGGAAAAGAAGAGCAUAUCAUCAGGGUGGGAUGAGGUUCUAGGGGUUUUAUUUUCAGGGGUGGCGGUGUGCGUGUGGGAAAGAGAGAUAAAGAUGAGAUGGAAUUCUGAGAGUUGGGAAAGAGUGUAUUUCAAAGAACAUUUUUAGUCACAGAUGGUUGCGGAGGAAUACGGAGAACAGGCCCAGCACCUCGGCUUCCUGGCUGAUUGCGGGGAGGGGAGCUUGCUAAUGAACACAUUGAUUUCCCAGCUCCUCUGAACAAUAGCAAAUGUUUUUUGCAGUUAUUAAUUGGGAUCCCACAGCAGGUGUGGGGGAUGGUAGGUGCUGGUGAUUCUAAGUUUAUCUUUGGGGGUUAGGCAAAGACCAAGAGAAUUUAAAGAGAAAGGAGGAACAGCUGGGCUGGGUGGUCCCAGCUGGACUGGCUCUCAACCUUGCUACUGGGCAGUUUAACUAGUUUAAUUCUUCGUUUUCCUCUUUGAGAAAAAAUUAGAUUAAUACUUUUUCUUCAUAUGGAUCGUGUGAAAACUAAACAACAUAGUUAAUACAUGUAAAAAGUAUGUUGUAAGUUUUCCAGGUCUAUAUACCAUUUGUUUUUCUUGUCAUUCAUUUCUCUUUAGUGUUUAUUAAAUGCCUACUGUGUACUAGUAGCUUGUGCUAGGUUCAAAGAAUAUGGCAAUGAAUUGGAAAAUACAGUUCCUGCCCCCCACAGAACUCAUGGUCCAUCAAGGAAGAGGGGGCCUGGCCACGUGAAUAUAAAUGCCCUGAGAGGAUUUCCCCUCAUGGAUCAGUGGUAACAAACCCAGAUAAUAUCCAUGAGGACACAGGAUCAAUCCCUGGCCUCACUCAGUGGAUUGGGGCUAUGGUAUUGCUGUGAGCUGGGGCGUAGGUCACAGACUUGGCUUGGAUCUGGUGUUGCUGUGGCUGUGGUGUAGGCUGGCAGCUGUAGCUCCAUUUGACCCAUAGCCUGAAAACUUCCACCUGCCACAAGUCAGGCCAAGAAAUAAAUAAAUAAGCACUGAAAUACACCAGCUGCUUUUCCAAUGGGAAGCUUAAGACAAACUGACCCUGGAAGUCAGAGAAGGCCUCCUGAAGGAAGGAACAUCAUUAUGGAGACCCAUCAUAAACAGUGAUGCUGCUGUUUUUCCCCCUGGAGCAGGGUCAGGGACUUAAACGCUGACCCAGGUUGGCCAGGUAGACCAAGGUCUGAAACCUUAUAAAGGAUCAAUUGGCUUAUAUUUCUCCAUUGACGAGAAACAAGCCAGUGUGUCCUCAGAGGGGCCCCUACUGUCUUUCUAAGCUUGCCUAGCCAUGUCCGUUGUGCAAACUCACUGAGCAUUGGGCGGCAUCCUAGAACAAGAUGUUCCUCAUUCUCGUGAGGCUGACACCCUGAUAACAAAGCUCAAGCUUUCCCUAAGUGCCCAGGUGAUGCCUCCCUGAUCCUGAAUAAAGAGGUGGCAGGCAACCAAGGCCUUCUCAGGUCCACCCAGCCUCCCACUGUGCCCAGCAUUCAUGGGAGACUUGCCCCCCAUCCCACUAGCACUGUGCCUGCACUUUCCCCUAACAACUCUGCCUUGAGCCUCUGCUUUAUGGCCCUGUACUAUUUAUCUCCAAUUGCAGCCCAACACUGGCUUUUAUAAAACCACCCUUGAAAAAUAGGACUUCUAGAAACUGGCAGGGUAGCCUGAGAUAAAAAGUAUGUGUCAGGAGAUGGGAGUUUGCUUUCAAUUCCAUUGGGUACAUAUUUCCUGAGCAGCUACUAAGGGAGAAGCCCAAUGCUGAGCAUGGAGUGUUCAGGGGUAAAUAUACUUCCAGUCUAGUUGGAAAGCAGUGAUGGUGGAGGUGAUAAUGAUGGGGGUGAUGAUGGUAAUGAUGGAGGUGAUGGUAAUGAUGGUGGUGAUGAUGAUGAUAAUGAUAAUCAUUAUGGUGAUGGUAAUGAUGGAAGUGGUGGUAAUGAUGGAGACAAUGGUAAUGAUGAUGGUGAUGGUCAUGAUGGAGGUGGUGGUAAUGAUAAGGGUGGUGAUGAUGAUAAUGUUGAAGAUGAUGACUAUGGUGAUGGUCAUGAUGGAGGUGGUGGUAAUGAGGGAGGUGGUGGUAAUGAUAACAGUGGUAAUGAUGAUAGUGGCAAAGAUGAUGAUGAUGAUGGUAACUUACGAUGGAAGUGGUGGUAAUGAUGGAGACAAUGGUAAUGAUGUUGGUGAUGGUAAUGAUGAUGGUGAUGGUCAUGAUGGAAGUGGUGAUAAUGAUGGAGACAAUGGUAAUGAUGAUGGUGAUGGUCAUGAUGGAGGUGGUAGUAAUGAUAAUGGUGGUAAUGAUGGAGACAAUGGUAAUGAUGAUGGUGAUGGUCAUGAUGGAGGUGAUAGUAAUGAUAAUGGUGGUAAUGAUGAUAAUGUUGAAGAUGAUGAUGGUGAUGGUCAUGAUGGAAGUGGUGAUAAUGAUGGAGACAAUGGUAAUGAUGAUGGUGAUGGUCAUGAUGGAGGUGGUAGUAAUGAUAAUGGUAAUGAUGAUAAUGUUGAAGAUGAUGAUGGUGAUGGUCAUGAUGAUGAUAAUCAUUCUGGUGAUGGUAAUGAUGGAAGUGGUGGUAAUGAUGGAGACAAUGGUAAUGAUGUUGGUGAUGGUAAUGAUGAUGGUGAUGGUCAUGAUGGAGGUGGUGGUAAUGAUAAUGAUGGUAAUGAUGAUAAUGUUGAAGAUGAUGAUGGUGAUGGUAAUGAUGGAAGUGGUGGUAAUGAUGGAGACAAUGGUAAUGAUGAUGGUGAUGGUCAUGAUGGAGGUGGUGGUAAUGAUAAUGGUGGUAAUGAUGAUAAUGUUGAAGAUGAUGGUGAUGGUCAUGAUGGAAGUGGUGGUAAUGAGAGAGGUGGUGGUAAUGAUAAUGGUGGUAAUGAUGAUAAUGUUGAAGAUGAUGGUGAUGGUCAUGAUGGAAGUGGUGGUAAUGAGAGAGGUGGUGGUUAUGAUAACGGUGGUAAUGAUGAUAGUGACAAAGAUGAUGUGAUGAUGGUAACUUACGAUGGAAGUGGUGGUAAUGAUGCAGAUGAUGGUAAUGACGGAGGUGGUGGAAGUGAUGGUGGUGGUCAGUGCAUGUGAAUGGUUUGGGGGUAGGGAAGGUGCUGGAAUUGGGAGAGUUGAGCUCGAUAACACCUAAGGCACCAUCAACUGCUUUGACUUUUAUUCUGUUAAACCUAAUUAUUUACUAGUCUAUAAAACAGGUACACACAUCGCUUGUAUUCAAGAUGUUUCUUGAACAGGACAGAAAUGAGAGAAUUUGCUAAGAACUUCCACAUCUAACAAUGGGAUCAAAUUGUACGCAUUUCAUUUUGCCUCCAGGAUCCAGAAGAAAUCCCCAUCCCUGUUAAUUUAGAACACGUAAACUAUGCACAUAGAUUAAAAUUCGGAAGUAGUUUCUAUUUCAUGAGGAUUUUUAAAAAAUCAUAUGCUCUCUAUUCAAGACUUUACAAAAGAAAGUAAGGAAUAAAAUUCACACAUUAGCAAGAAAUUGCUGGUAUCUUUGAAUAUCUUCCCCCAGGCAGAGAAAUUUGGCAUUUUUUAAAAAGUUGAAUUUUCUGUGUAUGAAAGAAAACAUUUACUGAUGAUGUGGAUGAGUAAAAUCAUUAAGUAAAUGUUGUAUAGAUUCAAACAAACAAAAAAAGCUACCCCCUUAUUCCCAGUUUCCGAAACAAACCAAUCCCCACUCACACCCUACCCCCAAAAGGCAAGGAAUAGAUAGAUGGAAAAAGAUUGAGUUUUUGUUUCCUGAGUUAGUACACAGGCAAAAAAUAAAAAAAUAAAAAAAUAAAAACAAUGCCAAGAAUAUAAAAGAUCAGCUGGUUAUUUGUUCUAAGCAUUUUAUGUGUAUUAACUCAUUUAAUCCCAUAAUAAUCCUAUAAGGAAGCUGGCUAUGAUAUCCUUUUUUCACAAGUGUGGGAACAGAAACCCAGUAACUCACUGGGGAUCAUAAAGCUGAGAAGUGGUGGCGCUGGAUUUGAACCUAGCCAAGAGAGCUUUAAUGCCUGCAGACUUAAACAAACAUAGACCACUUAUAUAUAUAUGACUUGUAAAGGCUUGUGAGGCCACUAUAUUUGCUGCUUGAUAUUAUUUUUCUUGUUAUUAAGAUCCCUUCAUCCAGAGUCUUUCACACCUUGUAUGAGCUUUCACCGGAAAGUUGAUUAUCACGUAUAUGGGACCUCACUAUUAUUUCUUACAACUUUAAGUGAAUCUACAAUUAUCUCCCUAAAAAUUCCAGUCAGGAAGAGUUGACUAGCACCACACAUGUCUCUAAGCACUCUCUAAUGAGCAAGUGAAUUAAAAUGUCAGGAACAAAUGACUGAUUACAGAUUUAAAAUCAGUCUGUAAAUGUGAAGAAAUAUUUUAUGUAAACAUCCCAGCCUUGGAAGUGUUAGGCUUGAAAGUGAGUUAUGGGUCAAAAUCCCAAUCAGACUCUGUCUUAGGAAAGCUCCUUGACUUGUCUGGGCCUCAGUUUCCUAACUCUGUAAAAUGGGGUAGUAAUGCCUACUUCAUUGUGUUGUUAGGAAAGAGCAGAUUUGGAGUCAGGCUUGUGUGAAUCCAGAGUUGCUUGCUUUUAGCAGCUCCAUGCUACCCUGAGUAAAGAGGUGGUAGGUGCCAGCUUCAGGGAAGAGGGCCUAAGGGGGCCUGCCUGUAGCCCCUGCCAGUUAUCCCUCCAGCCUCUUUGUCUACCCGUCCCCCCAGAAUCUGUUUCCCUUUGCAAGGCCUGACCUCAAAGGGUCAUGUCAGCUCCACUGGACCUUCGCAGUUCAGCUUGCUUCUCUUGCCCUUCUUAAAUAAACUGGAUUUGGAGCCAGAAGACCUCAGGUUAAGACCUGCUUUUGCUGGGUAGCUUCUGGCAAGCCGCUUCCCCAGCUGGGUCUUGGGUUUCCUGCCUAUAACAUGAAGCAUCCAGGACAGGGUACCCAGAGCCCCGCCCUCUCUAAGGAAUGAGAAGUGGCUCCUCCUCUCUAUGUGCAACCCCAAAGCUUCACUCCCUUGCCAUUCCCUUACCCCUUCUAAAAAUAUCAACCUAGGGCACAUAACAAGAUGCUCAACAUCGCUAAUUAUUAGAGAAAUGUAAAUCAAAACUGCAGUGAAUUACCACCUCACACCAGUCAGGAUGGCCAUCAUCAGAAAGUCUACAAAGAAAGUGUGGAGAAAAGGGAACCCUCCUACCCUAUGAAUAGGAAUGUAAAUUGGUGCAGCCACUAUGGAGAAUACUAUGGAAAACUAAAAAUAGAGCUACCAUACAAUCCAACAAUCCCACUUUGGGGCAUUUAUCCAAAAAAGAUGAAAACUCUAAUUUGAAAAGUAUGUGCACCCAGUGUUCACUGCAGCACAGUUUAUAAUUAGCCAAGACAUGAAAGCACCUAGCCUAGAUGCCCACUGAUGGACGAAUGGAUAAAGAAGAUGUGGUACAUAAAUACAACGCAAUACUACUCAGCCAUAAAAAGAAUGAAAUGAUGCCAUUUUCAGCAGCAUGGAUGGACCUAGAGAUUAUCAUACUAAAU